rnacentral:rRNA from 1 species
ACGGGUGAGUAACACGUGGGUAACCUGCCCCGUACUCUGGGAUAAGCCUGGGAAACUAGGUCUAAUACCGGAUAUGACCCCUUUGGGCAUCUGAAGGGGUGGAAAGUUCCGGCGGUACGGGAUGGGCCCGCGGCCUAUCAGCUUGUUGGUGGGGUGAUGGCCUACCAAGGCGACGACGGGUAGCCGGCCUGAGAGGGUGACCGGCCACACUGGGACUGAGACACGGCCCAGACUCCUACGGGAGGCAGCAGUGGGGAAUAUUGCACAAUGGGCGAAAGCCUGAUGCAGCGACGCCGCGUGAGGGAUGACGGCCUUCGGGUUGUAAACCUCUUUCAGCAGGGACGAAGCGUGAGUGACGGUACCUGCAGAAGAAGCACCGGCUAACUACGUGCCAGCAGCCGCGGUAAUACGUAGGGUGCGAGCGUUGUCCGGAAUUAUUGGGCGUAAAGAGCUCGUAGGCGGUUUGUUGCGUCGGCCGUGAAAACUUCACGCUUAACGUGGAGCCUGCGGUCGAUACGGGCAGACUUGAGUUCGGCAGGGGAGACUGGAAUUCCUGGUGUAGCGGUGAAAUGCGCAGA